AACUUUUGUUCAGAGCAUGCAGCACAUCCUGGCUUCACAGUAUGCAUGUUCUGUCUGGUUUGACUCUUUCAUGCAAACAUGCCAUCAGGACAUGCUCUUUGGUUGAGCACUGUGCUUCUAGCGCCUGGCCCAGAGGAAGUG